GCCGUGAUCGUAUAGUGGUCAGUACAUUGCGUUGUUGCUGCAAUAACCAAGGUUCGAAUCCUGGUCACGGCA
rnacentral:tRNA from 1 species